AGGCAAUCCCAAGUUAUCAAGGCAAUGAUAUUUGUUCUGCUUCCUUUCAGCUUGGAAGAAAGGCAGAAAAAGAAGAAAUAAGAAAAUUCCGACCAUGACAAGGAAGGCACGAAUAUUGUCGUCCAUCAUGAACAUAUUUCAACGAAAUAGGACAAACCGUCAGGAGAACCAUCCCAGUGACGAGCGUGAGGAAGA